rnacentral:rRNA from 1 species
GGGGAAUAUUGCACAAUGGGGGAAACCCUGAUGCAGCGACGCCGCGUGAAGGAAGAAGUAUCUCGGUAUGUAAACUUCUAUCAGCAGGGAAGAAAAUGACGGUACCUGACUAAGAAGCCCCGGCUAACUACGUGCCAGCAGCCGCGGUAAUACGUAGGGGGCAAGCGUUAUCCGGAUUUACUGGGUGUAAAGGGAGCGUAGACGGAUGGACAAGUCUGAUGUGAAAGGCUGGGGCUCAACCCCGGGACUGCAUUGGAAACUGCCCGUCUUGAGUGCCGGAGAGGUAAGCGGAAUUCCUAGUGUAGCGGUGAAAUGCGUAGAUAUUAGGAGGAUCACCAGUGGCGAAGGCGGCUUACUGGACGGUAACUGACGUUGAGGCUCGAAAGCGUGGGGAGCAAAC